GACCUUGCCACUCUGCUAUCACUGCUGUGUGCUCUCCAUUGUGUUACAGUCACCUUCACAUCUAUCUGGGUGAUCCAUAGCAAUAACUCAGAAUGCAGGCUUGGGUCCAGCCACACUCUGCCUAGAUGUUCACUUGUUCAGGUAGCAAUGGUCCUCUCCCAUGGUUUAUCUAUCUUAGAAUUUCUACUUUCCCUUCUUCUAGGGUUGUGGAAGCGCACGUUGUCCUUAAUUUUUAAACAUUUCAUCAUUUUAGUUGUCUUUCUAUGGAAUUAUUUUAGCAAAACUAAAAAUCCCCAGGGAUCAGUGAGGUAGGAAUGGAGAUCAAACAUCUUGGAGGUGUUGGAGGACUUGAGAGCAAAUGGGUUGACUGUUCCCUCUCCAAUGGUAUUAUAGAUCUUCCCUGAAGACAAGAAGGAGGGAAGGGUGUGUGAGCUGAUAGUGGUGGCUAGGGCUUGUCCAUGUUGCUUCAUAGCUCUUUUCUACUCUACAGUGCCUGUAGAAGACAGUCCAGACAGGAAGAAAACAGGACAACAAUGAAGAACAACAGGACCACUCAUCCCAGGCUCCUCUGAUGUCCCCUGAACAGGCAGUUUGCUUCUUCAAGAGAGGUGCCCUGCUGAUGUCCUUGCAGAUUGACUCACAUAUGGAGUAGAAGAGUUUUCUUUUACUUAAUGGAACAGAUCCUGAAGGAUGAAAGGAUGCUGGAAGUACAAGGACCAAGGAAGAUAGUGCACAUGGAAAUGCCAGAUGAAACACUACUAUUCCCCCAGGACAUGCUGAGGAGCAUCACUGAAACAUUCCCAUCCCUGAGCCACAACAGCACAUGACUUGCCAUGUUAAGCAGCAUCAUCAUGGCCUACCCAUUGUCAAGACAGGUGUUGUCAGGUGGCAGAAAAUAGACCCUCAGACUCCAAGAAUAAAGGAAAGGCUGUUUUUACGGAGAUGUCUGAAUUAUACACGCUUCAAAAAUAGAGCACUGGAACCAGCAAGGAGGCAGCAAUAAAUGCAGUCCCUGGUUUUGUGGUUGCCAACGAAGAUAUCACUGUCACUGGACAGUGCUGCAAACUCACUUUUUAGGUCAAUAUAAACAGCUUUUUGAAAUCUAAAGAAUUCUUUAAAAUGCUGUCAGAUUUAGAGUAAGAGAAAAAUUGCAGUUUUGUUACGUUGAAAGCUGCUCUACAAAGCCAAGGGGAAUGUCUCAUGGCUUUGGCUGCAUUUGCUUCUGCUAGCAUUACUCUUCAUGUCUGCCUUGCAGAGAGUCAUGCUGGGAUGCUGUUCCUACCGGAUGCAUCUGCUGAGAGUAAACAUAUGGAAAGGCCUUCCCUUCACUAAGGAUAUGUCAUCCUCUUGCUGUGUGAUGGGCAGCAUCACAAUUUUCAUCUAAUUCUGGAGUUUUUCAAAGUAUGGUAGUGCUCACACUGAGCUGGAGGAGGAGG
rnacentral:lncRNA from 1 species